AUUGAACGCUGGCGGCAGGCUUAACACAUGCAAGUCGAACGAGUGGCGGACGGGUGAGUAAUGUCUGGGAAACUGCCCGAUGGAGGGGGAUAACUACUGGAAACGGUAGCUAAUACCGCAUACUAUCGGAUGUGCCCAGAUGGGAUUAGCUAGUAGGGGGGGUAAAGGCCAACCAAGGCGACGAUCCGUAGCUGGUCUGAGAGGAUGACCAGCCACACUGGAACUGAGACACGGUCCAGACUCCUACGGGAGGCAGCAGUGGGGAAUUUUGGACAAUGGGGGAAACCCUGAUCCAGCCAUGCCGCGUGUGUGAUGAAGGUCUUCGGGUUGUAAAGCACUUUUGGUUGAGAGGCGUUACCAGCAGAAUAAGCACCGGCUAACUACGUGCCAGCAGCCGCGGUAAUUC
rnacentral:rRNA from 1 species